rnacentral:rRNA from 1 species
AUCCAGCGAAUUCGGUAGAGAUACCUUAGUGCCUUCGGGAACGCUGAGACAGGUGCUGCAUGGCUGUCGUCAGCUCGUGUUGUGAAAUGUUGGGUUAAGUCCCGCAACGAGCGCAACCCUUAUCCUUUGUUGCCAGCGGUCCGGCCGGGAACUCAAAGGAGACUGCCAGUGAUAAACUGGAGGAAGGUGGGGAUGACGUCAAGUCAUCAUGGCCCUUACGAGUAGGGCUACACACGUGCUACAAUGGCGCAUACAAAGAGAAGCGACCUCGCGAGAGCAAGCGGACCUCAUAAAGUGCGUCGUAGUCCGGAUUGGAGUCUGCAACUCGACUCCAUGAAGUCGGAAUCGCUAGUAAUCGUAGAUCAGAAUGCUACGGUGAAUACGUUCCCGGGCCUUGUACACACCGCCCGUCACACCAUGGGAGUGGGUUGCAAAAGAAGUAGGUAGCUUAACCUUCGGGAGGGCGCUUACCACUUUGUGAUUCAUGACUGGGGUGAAGUCGUAACAAGGUAAGCGUAGCGAG